AUUGAACGCUGGCGGCAGGCCUAACACAUGCAAGUCGAACGAGUGGCGGACGGGUGAGUAAUGUUUGGGAAUCUGGCUUAUGGAGGGGGAUAACGACGGGAAACUGUAGCUAAUACCGCAUACCAUAGGAUGAGCCCAAGUGGGAUUAGCUAGUUGGUGGGGUAACGGCUUACCAAGCCGACGAUCGCUAGCUGGUCUGAGAGGAUGACCAGCCACACCGGAACUGAGACACGGCCCGGACUCCUACGGGAGGCAGCAGUGGGGAAUAUUGCUCAAUGGGGGCAACCUGACGCAGCCAUGCGGCGUGAAUGAAGAAGGCCUUCGGGUUGUAAAGUUCUUUCGGUGACGAGGCGUUAAUCACAGAAGAAGCACCGGCUAACUCCGUGCCAGCAGCCGCGGUAAUUC
rnacentral:rRNA from 1 species